rnacentral:rRNA from 1 species
AGAGUUUGAUCAUGGCUCAGGAUGAACGCUAGCGGCAGGCCUAAUACAUGCAAGUCGAGGGGUAACAGGGGAGCUUGCUCCUGCUGACGACCGGCAAACGGGUGAGGAACACGUACACAACCUUCCUUCUAGUGGAGGAUAGCCCAGGGAAACUUGGAUUAAUACUCCGUAAGAUGUUAGGGAGGCAUCUCCCAGACAUUAUAGUAGCGAUACGCUAGAAGACGGGUGUGCGUCUGAUUAGGUAGUUGGCGGGGUAACGGCCCACCAAGCCGACGAUCAGUAACUGGUGUGAGAGCACGACCAGUCACACGGGCACUGAGACACGGGCCCGACUCCUACGGGAGGCAGCAGUAAGGAAUAUUGGUCAAUGGACGAAAGUCUGAACCAGCCGUGCCGCGUGAAGGAUGAAGGUCCUCUGGAUUGUAAACUUCUUUUAUAUGGGACGAAAAAAGGGUUUUCUAACUCUACUGACGGUACCAUAUGAAUAAGCACCGGCUAACUCCGUGCCAGCAGCCGCGGUAAUACGGAGGGUGCAAGCGUUAUCCGGAUUUACUGGGUUUAAAGGGAGCGUAGGUGGGCUGUUAAGUCAGUGGUGAAAUCCCGGGGCUCAACCUCGGAACUGCCGUUGAUACUAUCAGUCUUGAAUAUUGUGGAGGCUAGCGGAAUAUGUCAUGUAGCGGUGAAAUGCUUAGAUAUGACAUAGAACACCGAUUGCGAAGGCAGCUGGCUACGCAUAUAUUGACACUGAGGCUCGAAAGCGUGGGUAGCAAACAGGAUUAGAUACCCUGGUAGUCCACGCCCUAAACGAUGGAUACUCGACAUUAGCGAUAUACUGUUAGUGUCUGAGCGAAAGCAUUAAGUAUCCCACCUGGGAAGUACGAUCGCAAGAUUGAAACUUAAAUGAAUUGACGG